UGACACAGGGAGGUAGUGACAAGAAAUAACAAUACGAGUCUUAAAGUCUUGUAAUUGGAAUGACGGGAAUCUAAAACCUUUCCGGAGUAUCAAUUGGAGGGCAAGUCUGGUGCCAGCAGCCGCGGUAAUUCCAGCUCCAAUAGCGUAUAUUAAAAUUGUUGCAGUUAAAAAGCUCGUAGUUGAAUUUCUGCUGCAUCCGUGUCAUUCCUAACUGGUUUGUCACUGUUGUGGCUUUUUCUGGUGGUUGUGCUUCGGCUARAUCUCCAGAUUGUUACUUUGAGAAAAUUAGAGUGCUUCAAGCAGGCUUUUGCCUUGAAUACUUUAGCAUGGAAUAACUAAGUAGGACUUUGGUUCUAUUUUGUUGGUUUAAGAGCCAAAGUAAUGAUUAAUAGGAACAGUUGGG
rnacentral:rRNA from 1 species